GUAGGGGGCAAGCGUUGUCCGGAUUUACUGGGCGUAAAGCGCGUGUAGGCGGCCGCACAGGUCCGUUGUGAAAACUGGAGGCUUAACCUCCAGACGUCGACGGAAACCGUGUGGCUAGAGUCCGGAAGAGGAGAGUGGAAUUCCUGGUGUAGCGGUGAAAUGCGCAGAUAUCAGGAAGAACACCAAUGGCGAAGGCAGCUCUCUGGGACGGUACUGACGCUGAGACGCGAAAGCGUGGGGAGCGAACAGGGAUUAGAUACCCUGGUAGUCCACGCCGUAAACGAUGGGUGCUAGGUGUGGGAGGUGUCGACUCCUUCCCGUGCCGUAGCUAACGCAUUAAGCACCCCCGCCUGGGGAUACGGCCGCAAGGCUA
rnacentral:rRNA from 1 species